ensembl:misc_RNA Metazoa_SRP Metazoan signal recognition particle RNA
GACGGGCGCGGUGGUGCACGCCUGUAGUCCCCUACUUGGGAGGCAGAGGUGGGAGGACUGCUUGAGCCCAGGAGUUCUGGGCUGUAGUGUACUAUGCUGAUCAGGGGUCCGCACUAAGUUUGGCAUCAAUAUGGUGACCUCUUGGAAGCGGGUGACCACCAGUUUACCUAAAGAGGGGUGAACCGGCCCAGGUAGGAAACAGAUCAGGUUAAAACUCCUGUGAUGAUGAGCAGUAGGAAUGUGCCUGUGAAUAGCCACUGCACUCCAGCCUGGACAAUACAGUGAGACUCCAUCUCUU